ACGGGUGAGUAACACGUGGGCAAUCUGCCCUGCACUCUGGGACAAGCCCUGGAAACGGGGUCUAAUACCGGAUAUUGACCUUCACGGGCAUCUGUGAGGUUCGAAAGCUCCGGCGGUGCAGGAUGAGCCCGCGGCCUAUCAGCUUGUUGGUGAGGUAAUGGCUCACCAAGGCGACGACGGGUAGCCGGCCUGAGAGGGCGACCGGCCACACUGGGACUGAGACACGGCCCAGACUCCUACGGGAGGCAGCAGUGGGGAAUAUUGCACAAUGGGCGAAAGCCUGAUGCAGCGACGCCGCGUGAGGGAUGACGGCCUUCGGGUUGUAAACCUCUUUCAGCAGGGAAGAAGCGAAAGUGACGGUACCUGCAGAAGAAGCGCCGGCUAACUACGUGCCAGCAGCCGCGGUAAUACGUAGGGCGCAAGCGUUGUCCGGAAUUAUUGGGCGUAAAGAGCUCGUAGGCGGCUUGUCACGUCGGUUGUGAAAGCCCGGGGCUUAACCCCGGGUCUGCAGUCGAUACGGGCAGGCUAGAGUUCGGUAGGGGAGAUCGGAAUUCCUGGUGUAGCGGUGAAAUGCGCAGAUAUCAGGAGGAACACCGGUGGCGAAGGCGGAUCUCUGGGCCGAUACUGACGCUGAGGAGCGAAAGCGUGGGGAGCGAACAGGAUUAGAUACCCUGGUAGUCCACGCCGU
rnacentral:rRNA from 1 species